rnacentral:tRNA from 1 species
GGGGGUGUCAGUCAGUGGCAGAGCCUCUGCUUGGCAUGCAGAAGGUCUCAAGUUCAAACCCUGGCAUCUCUA